rnacentral:pre_miRNA from 1 species
AGUGCAGUUGCUGGGUAGUAAGGUAAAUUUAGAUUUUUAAAAGCAACUACCAAGGUUUUGUAGAAUAAUUGUACCACUUUACAUUUUCACUAGCAAU